rnacentral:tRNA from 1 species
GGCAGGAAUCCCCGCCAAUUCCCGCUCAGCCGGAAGCGCCAAGACCGGCCUGUCACGCCGGAGGUCGCGGGUUCGAGUCCCGUCGCUCCCGCCUCGA